rnacentral:misc_RNA from 1 species
CGCACAUUGCGCCCAUUAGUAUUCUGAUGGGCAUGCCUGUUCGAGCGUCAUUUCAACCCUCAAGCCCUAGCUGCUUGGUGUUGGGCACCUGCGGGCCUCGCCCGCAGGCCCCGAAAGACAGUGGCGGGCGCGCCGCGACCCCGAGCGUAGUAGUUACAUAUCUCGCUUAGGGCGUCCGGUGCUGUCCCGGCCGUUAAAAACGUCUCCCCGGAGACACUCACAAGGUUGACCUCGGAUCAGGUAGGAAUACCCGCUGAACUUAA